GAUGAACGCUGGCGGCGUGCCUAAUACAUGCAAGUCGAGCGAACAGAUGAGGAGCUUGCUCCUCUGACGUUAGCGGCGGACGGGUGAGUAACACGUGGAUAACCUACCUAUAAGACUGGGAUAACUUCGGGAAACCGGAGCUAAUACCGGAUAAUAUAUUGAACCGCAUGGUUCAAUAGUGAAAGACGGUUUUGCUGUCACUUAUAGAUGGAUCCGCGCCGCAUUGGCUAGUUGGUAAGGUAACGGCUUACCAAGGCAACGAUGCGUAGCCGACCUGAGAGGGUGAGCGGCCACCCUGGAACUGAGACACGGUCCAGACUCCUACGGGAGGCAGCAGUAGGGAAGCUUCCGCAAUGGGCGAAAGCCUGACGGAGCAACGCCGCGUGAGUGAUGAAGGUCUUCGGAUCGUAAAACUCUGUUAUUAGGGAAGAACAAAUGUGUAAGUAACUAUGCACGUCUUGACGGUACCUAAUCAGAAAGCCACGGCUAACUACGUG
rnacentral:rRNA from 1 species